CGGACAGUGGACCUGUGGAUUUAAGGAGCAUACUAGUGUGACAGUGAGCUAACCUGAAGCUGGAGGCUGCUAACCGGAGGACGGAGACCCGGAGCAGCCGGUUUGACAUCCUGUCCUCGCGCCCCAUGAAGCGUGCUGACUGCGCCAGAGGUGGACACCAUGAGCGGGAGGUCUCACCUGAUUCACCGGAGCUCCGCGGGACUCUGAGCCGCGUCUUUCAGUCUCCGUCCACCCACAAACCGCACACGGGAUGUGGGGACCGCAGAAAUCAGGACUCCGGGAUUUUCUGUCUCUGCCGCUGGUCGUGGCGGUGAUGUGCUGCGCCCAGAGCGUCAACGAACCGGGCAACAUGUCUUUCGUCAAAGAGACAGUGGACAAACUGUUGAAAGGGUAUGACAUCCGUCUCCGGCCGGACUUUGGAGGUGCACCGGUUGCUGUUGGCAUGAGUAUAGACGUGGCGAGUAUA